UAAGAAUGGAAUGGACUUAAUUCUCCACCGUAACUUUCCCACGACAACGGAAACACACUGUGAAUUGUGUAUGCAAUUUUCACUCCAAUAUACGUUGGCAGCCACUCAGCAACACACACAUGCAGAGCUCCCACAUGCGCUGCGUACGUGUACUGUGCAUGCGGAUGUGUGCGAGAAGCCCGCGGAAAAGCACAACAAGAACAACAAUAGAACGGAGAUUAUCAUACGAUACUUGUGAGCACCAAUAAAACGAAUCCACAUGAGCGUUUCACAGAGCAA